CUCCAGCUUGGAGGGGGCUGCCUGCCCAGACUCCUGCUCUCCCUCCCACAUUUGGGAGGGGGUGUCUACCAAGCCUGAAAAGCCAGCCGUUAGCAACUGAAGAGGGGAAACUGAGGCACGGGAAAGGGAAGACCAGGCUGUGUAAACCGUGGGAUCGCACCCCUGGCCCCGGAGCCCAGACUAGACAUCAACAAGAUGCUGCCUUGCGUUUGUGAAGCUUGAAGGCACUGAGAGGUGAAGGGUCUUCUUGGAGCUGUCAAACCAAUUUCCAUCACAGCUGAGAACAAACCUAAGCCCUUCCCCCAGUCUGGAAGGCCAUGUCCCACCAGAGCUUAUCCGGGUAUCUGUUAGCCUGGUGGACGGCUCACCUCAACAGCCACUCCAGGAGAAGGAAACAGCAGCUAGCCCCAAGCAGUAGCCGUC